GUGCUCAUGCAGUAAGUGUUUAAGCAUGUGAUUAAGCUCAUUCUUACUCAGUGAAGCAUUUCAGCACAUGCUCUGUGUACUUCACAGUUAGGGGUGAACUUAGCACAUGCUCAGGAGUGCUGGUGGAUCAAGGUCUCUAAGCUUGAAUUUGCAAGUGUUCCAAUGCCAGUGUCUGUGCCAGGUGUCCUGGUGACUUCUCUUGGCUUAUGUUGGAGGGACUCCCUGCUGGCUCUCUGCUCUCCCUUCAGAGCCAGACUGUAUGGCAAAACUUGCUUCAAACUGUUCACCUGAACUGGGUAGGAGCUGUAUCCUGAAUCUGGAAGUGCUUUUAAAGGAACAGAUACAUUUGUAAUUUGUUGUAUUUAAAGUGACUGAGCUAAAACACUGAGAAAUAUGUAAAAGUGAAUGUGCUUGUGCUCUAUAUUGAUAGCAUUUUCUGCAAGCCCCAGAAGUGGGACUCGGGAAGAGGCAACCCUUUGUAUAUGCACUCACUUCUCUCAGAUGUCCAGGUGGAGCUGGAAGAUUGAUGCUGAGAGGAAGGGCUAGGCACACACACACAAAAAGGCUUCUGAGAUCACAGAAUCAUAAAGGAAAAGACUACUGAGAUCAUCCAGUCCAACCAUCAACCCACCCCCACCAUGCCCACUAAUCUAUGUCCAUCAAUACUACAUCUCCAUAGUUCUCCAGGAACGCUGACCCCACCACUUCCCCAGGCAGCCUGUUCCAAUACCUCACCAUUCUUUCAGAGAUUUUUUCCUAAUAUCCAGUCAACAUCCAUUCUUGUGCUUAGCUAAUCAUACUUGAGUCUCAGUUUUGGGCUCUGGAACUAGCAAAAGAGUAGGGUCUCUGGGUUACCCAGCCUGGAGAAGAGAACCAUAAAGCACAGAGAAGUUGAUUCUGCUGGGCUUCAAGGAAAGCUAUACUUUGAUUGAGCAAACAGUAAAGGCAAGGGAAGGGUUAAAAGUUUGUCUUCUCCUCCCAGACACAUUAUUUACAGUUGGUUGGUUUCCUUUUGGAAGGGACCACUGUAAAAUGAGACAUUCCCAGUGUUUCAGUGGGUUAGACCUGUAUCACAUUACAGUUUUCUUUCCUUGACUCUUGACUGACACCAUUUCCUGAGGUUCUCUUCUCUCAGGAAGGCAAACUCAGGAACGAGUAGGAGUUUGCUGAAAAUCCAGAGCCUUGGAAGGCAGAAAUGCAAUGAUGUCCUUUUCUUUCUAGAAGUAAGGUGUCUUCUGAGAUUCAACGAUGGAACAACACGUCUAGUCAACACAUUACCAUCUUAUGGCACUGUGCAGAACACUCCAAAGCUACCCUGUAUCUGCACAAUUCAUGGAUACCCUGAGAUAUUGUUCUGGUAUCAGGACUGGGAGGUUUGGAUCUAACUCAUCCCACCCAAGGCCCAUCACCCAUCGGUGAUUCAGCUGAAGAUGCUCCUGAAGAGAGGUUUGGUGGCCACGGGUGGGUCUGGAUGAGAGGAACACAAGUGCUGUUCAAAGGUUACUUCCCCAUGGCUGAUAAAUGAUGGUGGUUGGUGCUUCCAGCUGCCAUGGAUAGCUCCUGUCUUGUCCUUGUCUCUUCUUCCUAAUUACCAGUUCUUUUUUAGGUUCCAUGUGAGCUCUGUGAUUUUCUCCUUGCCGCUGCAGAGGCCGUGGGUGCUGCCCAAGGAGAGCAGGUACUGGGGAAGGGAAGCUCAUGGGCAGAGAGAGCCUGGAGCGAGGGGAUCAGAAGGGGAUCUGCUGGGGAGAGUGGAGCCAAGCUGUUCCUCAUCUCCUGCAUCCAGAUUUUGGACUCUCAGUCAUGAUAUUUGAGGGCUAAAUCCCUGUUACGUGGUUGCUAGCAGAGAAGAGCUGGGCCUCAAGGAUGACUGAAGGGCUGGAGAUGGAUUUGUUCAGCCUGGAGAAGAGAAGGCUCCAGGGGGAUUUCAUUGUGGCUUUCCAGUACCCAACGGGAGGCUACAGAAAAGUUGGGGAGAGACUCUUUGUCGGGCGUUGUCAGGACAAGAGGUAAUGGUUUUAAACUAAAAAGAGGGUAGGUUUAGUUUGGAUAAGACAAAGAAAUUCAUCACAAUGAUGGUGGUGAGGUGCUGGCACAGGCUGCCCAGAGAAGCUGUGGGAUGCACCAUCCCUGGAGGUGCCCAAGGCCAGCCUGAAUGAGGCUUUGGGCAGUCUGAUGUGGUGGGAAUUGUCCCUGCCCAAAGCAGGGGUUGGAACCAGAGAAUCUUUAAGGUUCCUUUCCAACCUAAACCGUUCUGAGAUUCUAUGACUGAUUUGUCACUGCCCAGCCCUGCUGCUCUGCUGAGGCCCUUUUUUUCUGAGACCAAGUGCUGCAGGAGCAUCAGGAGGAAGCACACUCAGAAGUGUUUAUUAUUGUUGUCAAAUGAUAAGUUUCCUUUCUACCCUGGAGAUAUUGAUCUCUGCUGUGGUCCCCACAGCUUCCUUUUUCCUGGAUUGAGGUCUGACAUGUCUCUUGAAAGACGGCCUUAGCCAUGGAAGAGGCUUUCAUUGCUGACAUUUUGUUUCAGGCAUGCAUUUCCCCCACGGUCCGGUUACAAAGACCUACUAUGCCCCUGGGUGGGUUGCUUAGACAUAUGGCACUGUGGUGCUCUGAGCCUUCCUCUCUUCCCUCCUCUCUCCCAGUAAAGCAAAAUUGUUCAGCUUUCCUCCUUGGUCCUUUCUCUCUUGUCUGAAGUUGGCCUCUUCUUCAGGCAGCUAGUGACAGAACAAGAGGGAAUGGCCUUAAAUUGCACCAGGGGAAGUUCAGGUUGGAUAUUAGGAAACAUUUAUUCUCAGAAAAAAUUGUGAGGUAUUGGCAUAGCUGCCCAGGGAGGUGGUGGGGUCAGUGUCCCUGGAGGUGUUCCAGAGGCAUGGAGAUGUGGCACUGUGGGACAUGGCUUGGUGAGCACGGUGGGGUGGGUUGAUGGUUGGACUGGAUGACUGGGAAUUGUGAAGGUCUUUUCCGACCUUAAUGAUUCUGUGAUUCUCUGAAGUCAUGCAGCUGUGGAGGUGUUCCUUAUGACUUCAGAGCACUUUUGUCUUUGGUCUAAAUUAACUCUGUGGAUCCAUUGCAAACGCAUGAACUAGGAAAUGGAUUUAAUGUUUGGAAAACGGUAAGCAGAGGGCUGGACUUUUCUUUUAUUCUGGUGUGUUCUCUCUGCUCUUUUAUCAUUUCUCAACAAAAGCAUCAUAACAUGGGCAGAAAAGGCAACAGGAAGGACAAUAAAAUAGAUGAAAAUAAAUCACCAUCCCUACAGGAUAUCACAGAAUCAAUGCUUUAGCACAGGGGAAGAAAACAAAAGGCUCUUUGUCCUGCCAAAGAACACACUGAUAUCAAAAUAAAACCCCAAAGAUUUGACUGAUAUGCAGUUACUGGGGGUAGCAAAAUGGGAAGUGUGAUGCUGGGCAGAAUGUAGCUGGUCCUUGUGCUAAAAAACAGUGCCUCCAUGUGCUGGCUUCACUCUUGUUCUCAUUGACUGAUUCUGCAAGACCAUUUUCUUGGUGGUCAGGGCUGCAUUCAGAAACCACUCACGGUGUGCUGAUGAAAAGGCCAAUUUUGUGAGUAAACAUCCUAAUAAGCAGGUCUUGACAGAUGGUUUGUUGCUCGAGCCCCACAUAAACCUACAGCUUGUGUCAGUGUCUCCACCAGAUGUUUCCCUGGAGAACCUCCCAGCAGUGUGCUCAGGAGCUCUCAGCUUUCACAGCACGCCUGGCUGCAUCCCGAGGAGGAGCCCCGGUGCUUGCUCAACACAUUGCAGAGAUGUCUUUGGGAGCAACAGAUUCCAGAAACGUGUUUCUCAUAGCAUUGAUAAAAUCAUGCUCCUGAUGGAGCCUGUUGGUGGCUAAGCAGGGUAAGCAAAGGAGACUGUGCAUAGCAGCUGCUGCUAUCACUUGGUUCAGGAGCAGGGAGGAAUGUUCAGUGCCACGUGAAGCAGAACAAGAAACCUUUUGUAUACUUUAGGUAACCCUCAGUUCUUUUUGUUUUGGUACUAUCUUGUUUCAGACUUUGAAAUAUCUGUCCUCCUUUCCCUAUGUUUUCUAGCAAAUCAGAAAAAAAUGACUUAGCCAAUGAUUCUUAUCAGCGAGUCUCUUCCUUUUCCCCAUUUCCUCUGUUUGUGAGUCUGACAAGCUGGUCUGAGCCCUGGGACCCUACAGUCACUCACAACAUCAGAUGUGUACUCCUCCACAGAGCAAGUAUUUCCAUUAAGAGCUGGUGGAGAAAUUUCACUGUGUUCUGCUGUCUUGGGUUGCUCACGGGACUGUGUUGUAGUUUCCAUCACCUGUCCUUCAGAUUAGGCAAUUUAGAUGUGACUGAUUUGCAGUGUUUCUGGUGGGCUGUGCAGGGACUUGCAGCUCCCUGCCUCCCCAAGAGCAACAGGAACAGAACUGAGGUUCAGAGGCUGCUGUUGGCUACUGCUGCCCUGCUGAGGUUGGCUGUUGGAAAUGGGCUUAAAGUGAUGGUUCUGGGUGAAAUUAGGCUGAAUUCCUUCCAAAUCAGUAGACAUUUUGCAGAAGAAAUUAUGCACCAGUUUGCAUUCUGUCACAGAAGAGACGAUCUCUGGAGCACCAGGCCUCUCAGUUCUCCAUCUCUUGUGUUUGCCCCUGAGAUGGUCUAAUAGCUGAGACAUCCCAAUCUGAGAGCUGUGGGAGCACUGAGGUCCCCUCCUGCAAAACAGCUUGUCUGGCAGCAGGCUGCCCUAGGGCCCUGGAAACCUGAAUGGUGGAGGAACCAGAUGGGUGGCCAGGCAGGAAACUCAGCAGGUUUCUGACAUCUGGAGCCCUAUGUGAGUUUCAUGGGAACCUGGGCAAAAUUGACUCACCUUGUUGAGAUUUUGCUGAAUUGGUGAAUUCCUCCGAAAUGCAGUUUUGCCUGAAACCUUCCGAGCAGGUGCAGUAUCUUCAGCUAUCUCCUGGAGAUGAUGACUGUGCGUUCCCCUACGUUUUGCUGCAUGGGUCUUCUGGGAGUCAAGGAAGCAUUUGUGUACUGCUGAGCCCUCUGCCAGCCUCCAUGCUCUUGAAGUGGUGUUGAAGGAGGAGGAUAUGGGAAAUUGGCAGAGAUGGGUGAAGGAUGCUGGCAGGUUAUUCUGGCCCUUAGAAAAUCAUUGUCUUCUCCUCAUUACUCUACACCUCAUCCACCGACUCUGUCUUGUCCCGUAGACUAUAAAUUCUCCAUGUUAAAUUAACUCCCCAAGUUGACUAUUUGUUUUCACAGCCUCUAGCUGAGUUUCCUACGUGCUACCCUAAUAUAAACAGUAAUAAAGACAGCUCCGUCCUGCUGCAAACCACUUCUAAGGAUGUUCCUUCUAAUUCUCUUCCUUGUUUAGCGUUGUAUCAUUAAAAGGCAUGAGGUGGUUAAUUGGAGGCUUACAGCUUUUGUGACUGAUGCAAACCAGUGUGUGAGUAAUUGCUCGCUGCAAACGCUCAGGUGAACACUUUAAAAGAAAAUGCUUUAAAAGAGGCAGAUGGCCCUGAGCAGAAGGCUCCCUGCAAAAGGUCAGAGGAAAAGGUUAGCGAUAGGGCUGCCCCGAAGCUGGGAAAAAGAACCUAAUACCUGGCCAACUGGUGAAGAGCCUGGCUAGACUGCAGCUUUGUUCCCCAAAGGGGGCUGCUGCUGCGGCAGAGCUCCUACAUCAAAGCUCUCCUAAAAAAAACACAGCAGAGAUCCGUAUCACCCAGCCUGUGGCACUGGAGGGAAAUGGAUUGGUUGACAAGUCAGAGGCCC
ensembl:lncRNA